UCCGCUAUAGUGUAGGGGUUUAGCACGUCGCUCUCUCACGGCGAAGACCCGGAUUCGAAUUCCGGUAGCGGAA
rfam:Hanseniaspora valbyensis NRRL Y-1626 HANVAscaffold_3, whole genome shotgun sequence.